rnacentral:rRNA from 1 species
AGGAUUAACGCUGGCGGCGUGCCUAACACAUGCAAGUCGAACGAGGUAGCAAUACCUAGUGGCAGACGGGUGAGUAACGCGUGGUCAACCUACCGUUGAGUGGGGGAUAACUAGCCGAAAGGUUAGCUAAUACCGCAUACGAGUUUUGGGGGCAUCCCCGGGCCUUAAAAGGAGCAAUCCGCUCGAUGACGGGACCGCGUCCCAUUAGCUAGAUGGUGGGGUAACGGCCUACCAUGGCACCGAUGGGUAGCUGGUUUGAGAGAGCGACCAGCCACACUGGGACUGAGAAACGGCCCAGACUCCUACGGGAGGCAGCAGUGAGGAAUUUUCCGCAAUGGGCGAAAGCCUGACGGAGCGACGCCGCGUGUGGGAAGAAGGCCUUCGGGUCGUAAACCACUGUCGAAGGGGACGAUAAUGACGGUACCCUUGGAGGAAGCCCCGGCUAACUACGUGCCAGCAGCCGC